UACGUAGGGGGCUAGCGUUGUCCGGAUUUAUUGGGCGUAAAGAGCGUGUAGGCGGCCAGGUAGGUCUGGUGUGAAAACUCGAGGCUUAACCUCGAGAUGUCAUCGGAAACCAUUUGGCUAGAGUCCGGAAGAGGAGAGUGGAAUUCCUGGCGUAGCGGUGAAAUGCGCAGAUAUCAGGAAGAACACCAAUGGCGAAAGCAGCUCUCUGGGACGGUACUGACGCUGAGACGCGAAAGCGUGGGGAGCGAACAGG
rnacentral:rRNA from 1 species